GAAAUGCGAUAAGUAAUGUGAAUUGCAGAAUUCAGUGAAUCAUCGAAUCUUUGAACGCACAUUGCGCCCUUUGGUAUUCCAAAGGGCAUGCCUGUUCGAGCGUCAUUUGUACCCUCAAGCUUUGCUUGGUGUUGGGCGUCUUGUCUCUAGCUUUGCUGGAGACUCGCCUCAAAACAAUUGGCAGCCGGCAUAUUGGUAUCGGAGCGCAGCACAAGUCGCACUUUGUUCCAUGAAUGUUGGCAUCCAUCAAGACCAUUUUUUCACUCUUGACCUCGGAUCAGGUAGGGAUACCCGCUGAACUUAAGCAUAUCAAUAAGCGGAGGAACAACACGCACGACCGCAUCGAUGAAGAAC
rnacentral:misc_RNA from 1 species